CGUGUAGGCGGUCUGGUAAGUCGGUCGUGAAAGCCCUUGGCUUAACCAAGGAACUGCGAUCGAAACUGCCGGACUAGAGUAUCGGAGGGGGUGGCGGAAUUCCCGGUGUAGAGGUGAAAUUCGUAGAUAUCGGGAGGAACACCUGUGGCGAAGGCGGCCACCUGGAAGAUUACUGACGCUGAGACGCGAAAGCGUGGGGAGCAAACA
rnacentral:rRNA from 1 species